GCUACAGGAUGCACAGGAACAAAAGGAAAAUGCCUCUUAGAAUUCUAGUAUGUUAGAUCCCAUUAAAUAAGAGAAAGGAUGUUACUGUGUCUGGUCCAGUGCCACUUGAAGACUUGUAUUCUCUAAUGAAAGUACUCCACCACCCAGAUGCACAUGCAUACACCCAAAAGUCCUGUGGGCACUUACCUAGGCCAGGGACACUUGGUGGCACCUGUCUUGAUAACAGCAGUAAGAGUAUUUGCUAUAAAGCAGAAGUGAGUUAUACCUUUUACAAGACAGACCAUUCAGGGAGGAAGUGUUGGUUACAUUUUUCCUCCAUUCAAAAAGAAAACAGCUUUGAGCUCCAUGGAAAAUGUACAGUAGAUUCUUGUUAUUUACCAUAGUUAUGUGGAUACAUUUGUUGUGAAUCCUGAAUUAGUACUGAACCACUGCUCAGGGAAAUACAGGGUUAGGUUCUUAGGGAGUCUUUGGUUUAUUUUCGUCAACUGAUCAACAUGUAACCUUAUGUGUGUUUCUGUCUAAAGACAGCUUAUUUAAUAUAUGUGUUUUACAAAUAAUUAUAUACAGUAGUUCUUUAUAUUCAAACACUGCCUGAGAAAGAUUUAACAUCUUCCUGACCCUGAGUAACAUGACUAAAUUUCUUUGGCUUUCAGCCCCGCAAGAAUGCUGUCUACUACAUUUUUUAAAUCUAUCCUUGUCUUAUGAAUCCACAAAUUGAGCUGCUUUUCCACAGCACUUACAGAGGUUACUUCGGUCCUUGAUGGAGCAGCCUCACGUACAUACUGGCUCACCAACAGGAGAAGAGCGGAGAGCAACACCUCCCCCAGAUCCUUCCUCUCCCUCCACUUCCACAUCAGUUCUGCAUAAUUUGGCCUCAGAAAAAAUAAGUUCCCAUCAAGGUAAUGAACUGAAGAUUUUCAAGAGAUUCUGGUAUACUUUCUUGGACCACUAUGAAUUGACAUAAGACUUACCCGUUUGUGUUGCCUUGCGAGUUUUUCUUUUGCUUCUUCCAGCUCUUUCUGGAUUUUCAGAACAUGUUUGUUCAUCUUACGAAUUGUGGAGUGCAAGAUUUCCCAAACAAACAAUCUUAAAAGUAA